rnacentral:rRNA from 1 species
CAGUAGCCACGGUAAAACGUAGGUGGCGAGCGUUGUCCGGAAUUAUUGGGCGUAAAGGGAGCGCAGGCGGACAUAUAAGUCCAUCUUAAAAGUGCGGGGCUCAACCCCGUGAGGGGAUGGAAACUGUAUGCCUUGAGUGCAGGAGAGGAAAGCGGAAUUCCCAGUGUAGCGGUGAAAUGCGUAGAUAUUGGGAGGAACACCAGUGGGGAAGGCGGCUUUCUGGACUGCAACUGACGCUGAGGCUCGAAAGCCAGGGGAGCGAACGGGAUUAGAUACCCGCGUAGUCCCUGUCUCUUAUACC